CAACGUAAACAACCUGCCUUCAGGAUGGGGACAACAGACGGAAACGACUGCUAAUACCGAAUAAGUUCCAAGAGACGCAUGGCCCAUGGAAGAAAAGGUGGCCUCUACCUGUAAGCUAUCGCCUGAAGAGGGGUUUGCGUCUGAUUAGCUGGUUGGAGGGGUAACGGCCCACCAAGGCGACGAUCAGUAGCCGGUCUGAGAGGAUGAACGGCCACACUGGAACUGAGACACGGUCCAG
rnacentral:rRNA from 1 species